AUACCAUGGUGAGGGUACAUCCUUUGAAGUUCCUGAAAUUCCUCCCAUGCUCGUAGAGUGAAUCACCAUCCUUUUUAGUGAAGUUCUGAAUCUCACUCCUUAGUCU